AGCGAACGCUGGCGGCAGGCCUAACACAUGCAAGUCGAACGGACCCUUCGGGGUUAGUGGCGGACGGGUGAGUAACACGUGGGAACGUGCCUUUAGGUUCGGAAUAGCUCCUGGAAACGGGUGGUAAUGCCGAAUGUGCCCUUCGGGGGAAAGAUUUAUCGCCUUUAGAGCGGCCCGCGUCUGAUUAGCUAGUUGGUGAGGUAAUGGCUCACCAAGGCGACGAUCAGUAGCUGGUCUGAGAGGAUGACCAGCCACAUUGGGACUGAGACACGGCCCAAACUCCUACGGGAGGCAGCAGUGGGGAAUCUUGCGCAAUGGGCGAAAGCCUGACGCAGCCAUGCCGCGUGGAUGAUGAAGGUCUUAGGAUUGUAAAAUCCUUUCACCGGUGAAGAUAAUGACUGUAGCCGGAGAAGAAGCCCCGGCUAACUUCGUGCCAGCCGCCGCAGUAACAC
rnacentral:rRNA from 1 species